CCCUUAGAUGUUCUGGGCUGCACGCGCGCUACACUGAUACGCUCAACGAGUUUAUGACCUUGCCCGGAAGGGUUGGGUAAUCUUUUUAAAACGCAUCGUGAUGGGGAUAGAUUAUUGCAAUUAUUAAUCUUCAACGAGGAAUUCCUAGUAAGCGCGAGUCAUCAGCUCGUGCUGAUUACGUCCCUGCCCUUUGUACACACCGCCCGUCGCUCCUACCGAUGGAGUGAUCCGGUGAAUAAUUCGGACUGCAGCAGUGUUCAGUUCCUGAACGUUGCAGUGGAAAGUUUAGUGAACCUUAUCACUUAGAGGAAGGAGAAGUCGUAACA
rnacentral:rRNA from 1 species